rnacentral:lncRNA from 1 species
UCAAAACACAAAAUAAAACAGAUUUGAAUGACUAAGAUUCAACAAAAUAUGGGGGGAUUGUGUUUGGACGAAAUUAAAUUAAAUGGGCAGAUUGUAAGACAAAAUUGUGAUGAAUCAAUGGAUGAUGGAAUAGUUAAGGGGCUCUUCUCCACACAUGAAAUAUAUGCAACGUAAAUCAAUUUCCAGUUAUCAAUUUAAUAAGUUAUGAACCUCGACACUCCAAGUUAAUUAGGU